rnacentral:lncRNA from 1 species
UUGAUUUUGAGAAAAUAAAUAUACCAUAUUAAUUUACUCAUGGAGUAGAACACAUUCGGCCAAAGAAAUCUUAUUUUCGAUUAACGGGACCCACUAAAUUAAUUGGUCAAAAAUUGGUCAAACCAACUAAUUAAAACCAAUUUUUCCAACACCUAUUUAUAGCAAAAUUUCUUAAAGAGAAUGCCAAAAAAAUCGUUGUUAAUUAUCUGGGAUUAGGCCGGCGUGCAACAGCGAACUCAUUGGGUGAAUCCUAGCAUAUAGCUUAAUUGGAAUGUAUUGCAUAAAGGAAAUGUAAAAAAAUUGAAUGCAACAGUAAUUUUCUUGGCGAACGUUUCAUUUUAGGAAAAUAAAACAAGAAAUUACAAGAAUCUUGUUUUCAUUAUGUUCCUUGUUACAUCUACCAAAAGAUCUAAUGCGCACUAAUCAACACCGGAAGAAGCCUAAUGAUUGGCUCUUCUAUUCUGUCUAUGGUCUACGAGACGCUGAUAAGCUACAAAUUGUUAUUAAAGAUGCGGAAAUAUUGAGAAAUGCUACAAAAGAGGGGUGACAUGUGUCAAACAUGAAUGGACAAUUUGGAGGGGAAAAAAAAGGAACCAAAUGCUGUUAAUUCAGUUUCUCCACACUUUUCCUGCUUUUAACCUGUUCAACCAUUAUUUUCUGGAAAUACUUCCAUCUCAUCUUGACCACCAUCAUCAAUCGCUUUGCACAUCUUACUCGGGCGAUGAGCUACGAAUUGUUAACGAUACGGAAAUAUUUCCAUAUUUUUGACAAACCCGAUUUCUUUAAUAGUUAACCCUGAGUCCAACAAUUGAUAUACAUGACCUUUUGAAGUGAUUCAUCAAUCUGUUUUCGCUUAUCGUCCCCGCCCUCGCUUCUACCGGAAUAUUCAAAGUCGCCAUUAAUAAAUCUCGGACGAAGAUUACCACAAGGACGGGUUCUUAAGCCGGAACCAUAUUUACCACAUUGAUCACUUUGCCCUUCGACCUUAGCCACGGUUGCAGCCAUACAAACUCUGCUGAAAUAACUCAUAUUUCUUGUACUUGUUAAUUUCUCUAAUCAAAAGGAAAUAGAACGAAUUAAUUUUAUGGUGAGAUGGAACAUUUAAGGGACAAUUUAGAUGAAUUUAUAGGGCAGAGCCAGAGAUUGAAAC